rnacentral:rRNA from 1 species
CCUACGGGGGGCUGCAGUGAGGAAUAUUGGUCAAUGGUCGGGAGACUGAACCAGCCAAGCCGCGUGAGGGAUGAAGGUACAGAGUAUCGUAAACCUCUUUUGUCAGGGAACAAAGGCGGGGACGUGUCCCCGGCUGAGUGUACCUGAAGAAAAAGCAUCGGAUAACUCCGUGCCAGCAGCCGCGGUAAUACGGAGGAUGCGAGCGUUAGCCGGAUUUAGUGGGUUUAAAGGGUGCGCAGGCGGUCAGUUAAGUCAGCGGUCAAAGCCCGGGGCUCAACCCCGGCCCGCCGUUGAAACUGGCAGUCUCGAGUGGGAGAGAAGUAUGCGGAAUGCGCGGUGUAGCGGUGAAAUGCAUAGAUAUCGCGCAGAACUCCGAUUGCGAAGGCAGCAUGCCGGCUCCACACUGACGCUGAGGCACGAAAGCGUGGGUAUCGAACAGGAUUAGAUACCCUUGUAGUC